AACCGCCAAGCCAAGGCCUCCCUCACCAUGCUUGUCUUAUGGACAUUUUGGAACGAGCGUAAUGCAAGAGUGUUCAAACAUAAGAGUGCUCCACCGCCAAUCUUGCUCUCCUCCAUCGCUACCGAGGCCAACCUUUGGGUCGUCGCCGGUGCAAAAAAGCUAGGGUCUUUUAUUUCACGCGAGUAA
rnacentral:rRNA from 1 species